rnacentral:rRNA from 1 species
UAACGAAUCUUCCGCAAUGCACGAAAGUGUGACGGAGCGACGCCGCGUGGAGGACGAAGUUCUUCGGAAUGUAAACUCCUGUCAGGGGAAAGAAAGUUCUGAUCUACCCCAGAGGAAGAGGCGGCUAACUCUGUGCCAGCAGCCGCGGUAAUACAGAGGCCUCGAGCGUUAGACGGAAUCACUGGGCUUAAAGCGUGUGUAGGCGGAAGGGUAAGUACCUUGUGAAAUCCCACGGCUUAACCGUGGAACGGCUUGGUAUACUGCUUUUCUUGAGCAAUCUAGGGGCGAGUGGAACAGAUGGUGGAGCGGUGAAAUGCGUAGAUAUCAUCUGGAACGCCAAUGGUGAAGACAACUCGCUGGGGAUUUGCUGACGCUGAGACACGAAAGCCAGGGGAGCGAACGGGAUUAGAUACCCAUGUAGUCCCUG